CUGGGAUUAUCUGCUCUGCUCAUUUUCUCGUCAGGAACGUUGGGUUGGGUUCCUUGUGGUUGUGUUUAUUGCCGGUUGUAUUUUACGAAAGACGUUUUGUGGAUUGGAGUACGUGACGUCGUGCAGGUUCGAAAUUGGCGUGAAGACCAAACCACAUUUAAAGCAAGAUUGUGAGAAAUAACAGAAGUGAAAAUUCUUAAGCCAGGAUCACAUGUCGAGAUACACAAGAAUGGAAUUUCCCCUUCCCAGAUUUGGCUUGUUGUGGACCAGGUGCGGCAUGAUGUUUACAAAGCAGGCAGUACAGUCAUUCAAGCGCCUCAGCGACGUGGUUGGUAUGGUUAGCGUCCCACCUCGGUGGUCGCGGGUUAGAUUCUCGGCCAUUCCUUUGAGGAGUGAGAGAUGUGUAUUUCUGGUGAUAGACGUUCACUCUCGACGUGGUUCAGAAGUCACGUAAAGCCGUUGGUCCCGUUGCUGAAUAACCACUGGUUCCAUGCAACGUAAAAGCACCAUACAAUUAAAGUACCGUCAUUCAAGGACUCCUGCUUUAGUUUCCUUUAUUUUCAAAAUGGUUUAAAAUGAGGUGAGAAUUGAGCCUGGCGUCGCAAAAGUUAUGCCUUAAGUUGUCAUGUAUUGGUGGUUCAUGUGUAAUAAGUUAUGUGGUUCUUUUAAUGUAGUACUAAAUUAUGCUCAUUUAAUGAGUUUUUAGUUCUCCAAAACUGUUUAGUUUUGUUAAACUCUGAAUUUAAUUUUAGCAACUUUAAAGCUGCUUUCUUGAAUAAGGUAGAAUUUAGUCUAGACAGACUUAUAAUAGUAGAGUGAAAUAAGCGCCUUUUUUCUCUCCCAAAUCAUGUGUAUCAUCACUUCGU